GACAGAGGGUGCAAACGUUGUUCGGAAUUACUGGGCGUAAAGCGUGUGUAGGCGGCUUUGCAAGUCGGAUGUGAAAGCCCUGGGCUCAACCCAGGAAGUGCACUCGAUACUGCAGAGCUUGAGUAUCGGAGAGGUUGGUGGAAUUCUCGGUGUAGAGGUGAAAUUCGUAGAUAUCGAGAGGAACACCGGUGGCGAAGGCGGCCAACUGGACGAAUACUGACGCUGAGACACGAAAGCGUGGGGAGCAAACAGG
rnacentral:rRNA from 1 species